CUCGCCGCUGGAUGCUGAUGAAAGAUGCCUUCUCAGGAUGCUCCAGCAUCAGCAAGAUAGAACAGGGUCUCCGUGUCCAGGUCUUCCUGUUAGAGAAGAAGGAGGGUACCUGUGGACUUCGCCUCUCUACCAACAGCAGCCACGCCCUGUACUCUCUGGAGGUGCAGCUUCUGCAGGUUCUCCCUGGCUUCAUCAGCAAUGACUCCACAAUGCUCAGCUUCAGCUGCACGUAUACCCUGGUGGUGAAUGUCAGCCAGACCCACCCCUACCAGCUGCCCCGUCAGCAACCGGCUGCUCCAGGGCCUGCGGGCCAACGGGGCCUCUCUGGAGGUGA
ensembl:lncRNA ZPLD2P zona pellucida like domain containing 2, pseudogene